rnacentral:rRNA from 1 species
UACGUAGGGGGCAAGCGUUGUCCGGAAUCAUUGGGCGUAAAGAGCGCGUAGGCGGCCCAGUAAGUCCGCUCUGAAAGUCAGGGGCUCAACCCCUGAAUGCGGGUGGAUACUGCUGGGCUAGAGUCCGGAAGAGGCGAGUGGAAUUCCUGGUGUAGCGGUGAAAUGCGCAGAUAUCAGGAGGAACACCGAUGGCGAAGGCAGCUCGCUGGGACGGUACUGACGCUGAGACGCGAAAGCGUGGGGAGCGAACAGG